CCCCCUUGUUUAACAAAACAUGUCUUAAUGUUAAAUUUUAUUAAGUCUGGCCUGCUCAAUGAUUUUAUUAAAUAGCCGCAGUAUUUUGACUGUGCGAAGGUAGCAUAAUCAUUUGUCUCUUAAUUGGGGACUUGUAUGAAUGGUUUUAUGAGAGAAUAACUUUCUUUAUAUUAAAUUUUAGAAUUUAAUUUUUGUGUUAAAAAGCUUAAAUUUAUAAAUGGGACGAGAAGACCCUAUAGAAUUUUAUUUUAAUUUAAAUUAUUUAAUUUAUUGGUUAAUUUUUUUAAUAAUUUAUUUUGAAAUUUUGUUGGGGCGACAUUGAGAUUUUUUUAACUCUCAUAUUUUAUAUUUUAUUGAUUUAUAUAUUUAGAAUCCUUUGUAUUAAGAAUUUAGUUUAAAUUACCUUAGGGAUAACAGCGUAAUUUUUUUUGAGAGUUCUUAUUGAUAAAGAAGUUUGCGACCUCGAUGUUGGAUUAAAAUUAGAUUUAAGUGCAGAAGCUUAAUUUUCUAGGUCUGUUCGACCUUUAAACUUUUACAUGAUUAAUUUUUAACCCGGAA
rnacentral:rRNA from 1 species